rnacentral:rRNA from 1 species
UACGUAGGGUGCAAGCGUUAAUCGGAAUUACUGGGCGUAAAGCGUGCGCAGGCGGUUUUGUAAGUCUGUCGUGAAAGCCCCGGGCUCAACCUGGGAAUUGCGAUGGAGACUGCAAGGCUUGAAUCUGGCAGAGGGGGUAGAAUUCCACGUGUAGCAGGUGAAAUGCGUAGAGAUGAUGGAGGAACACCGAUGGCGAAGGCAGCCCCUGGGUCAAGAUUGACGCUCAUGCACGAAAGCGUGGGGAGCAAACAG